GGGUUUUUAAGCGUUGUGGUUUAGGGUAUGUGGUUUUCUGAUUUUAUUUCACAACUUUCCACAUCAGUUUUCGUUUGAACUGUUGUAAUUGAAGCCUUAAAAAAAAAAAAAAACACGAAGUGAACAGUAAUUCAAUAUUUAUUCUUAAGCCUCGAUAGUUCUCUCUUCUAUCUCUUGUCUCUCCUGUCUACCUCUCUCCACGGUCUUGUUCUUCCCACCAUUGCCUUCACCAUGGCCAUAGACAGAGAGACUCUGUCUCUUGCAUCUCCCUCUCUCCACGCUCUCCCUCUCCCCUCCCUCUCCCGUCUCUUUCUUUCUCCUCCCUUCUUCUAGGUCAGGGGGAUUUGGGUUUUAAUUUUAGGGUUAUUGAUUUGGGGAUACUGAUUUGGGUUAUUAUCUAACCAUUUGGGUGUUGGCUUGCGGUUGCUCUACCUCGAUCAACAAAGGUGCUUAGCUUUUUCAUCUCUCUUGCCCUCUACGGUUGUUGCACUCACUCUGAAGCUUUGAUAGUGUGCUUUUCUUUCAUAAGAACUCUGGCCAGCCCCCUUUCUCAGUCUCAGGCCCCUUUCUCAGUCCCUUUUCUUUCAUAAGAACUCUGUGGUUUGUGAAUUUGAAGGUGGGGUUCAGAUAAUCUCAUUACUAUCUUGCUAAGAAGAAAAUUCCUUCUAUCCAUGGAAAUACAAUGGGAGUAAAACUACAGCAGUUCAUAUUUGAUGCGUUUCCAUACGCACCUUCAACUACACUUUUUGAGAGAUUGUUGUGUAGUUUUUAGCCUAAAAGUACAAACCAAAAAGUGGAGGAAUGGCUGCAGAGAUAGUUGUUUCCCGAGCCACGCAGCUCUUGUUUAUUGCUUUGCUCCUCAUGUGCCUUCAAACCCUUAACUUGAGUUGAGAGUUGAGAUCUUCAGCCCUCCUUUGAACUUGGCCUCCAAAACUGAAAAGUAUUUGCAGCCUUUGAGUUGAUAGUUGAUAUCACUCUUGCUUUGCAUUCAAACAGAGGAAUUUCGAUUUCCUCUGGAGCAAAACGUAAUCAUAUUUUGGAGUAAUUCCAGUUGGAGGACAUUCGUGAGCCACUUAGCAUGAUCCUAUCAAAAUUUCAGAUUUUUUUACCAAGCGGUUAUUUUCUGGCAAUAAAAUAAAAGAGCAGUGCGCGGUGCUGGAAUAGUGACGUUUUGGGCUUUUAUUGCGUUUUUAGAGCCCAAAAUGACCUGGAUGGGUUCAUGGCCUUCUGGAGAAGUGUUCAGAAUAUUUUUAUCUUUAAAACAAGCUAUCUUGGGCCAGAUUUGGAGCAGAUUUGAGGCUAAAACGUGGCUAGGCAAAUUGUGGGCAAAUUCUCCUAAUCCAAUUUGGACUUUAUUUCCUAGUAUUAUUUUAUUUUACUUAGUUUCCUUGUGGGGAUAGAAAAGCUGUACAGCUAGGUUUUAAGGGGUAUUUAAGCUCUUUCUCACAACAAUUUUAAGGACUUCUUUUUGGCUCUGGAAUGUGGAGAGCCAUUGCUAGGGUUUUGGGUUUUCAGCGACUUUCAGGUGUUUUCAUUCUUAUUCAUUCGAAUGAUAUUUUCUUUGAAUUUAAUUAUGAGUAUGCGUAACUAAUUCCUUUUGCUA